CUCUCUCUCUCUCUCUUUCUUUCUUUCUAUAUAUCUCCAUCUCUGUUUCUCUUAUACAUAUACAUAUAUACGUGUUCUCUCUAUACAUUGUAUGUAUGUAUAUCGUUUCAAGGUUUUCAUAUUCUCAUCGGACGUCGUAAAUAAAUAUACACACAAACUAAUAUAAACAACUAAUAUCACUCGUCUUUAUCUUUGAGAUUAUUUUGAGGAUAUUCUAAAUUUCAAAGAAAAAUAGUAUUAUCGAUGUAUGCGACAACGACGACGGACGACGACGACGAUGAAGAAGACAACGAAGACGAAGAAGACGAGGACACUAUGUAAAAGUAAAUGUCACGAUUUAUAUAUAGAUUAACGAGAUGAGAAAGGAGAAACGAUAAAUAAAAAAAGAGAAAGAGAAAAAUGUGUAGUAGGGGUGGGGUAAGGUGAUGGAGGAGAAGAAGAACAGUAAAAGGAGGAGGAGGAGGAGGAGGAGAGGACGAAGAGAAGGGAGAAGGAAAAUUUGGGUGUUAACUUUGUAAAACAUCGAAGAGAACGAUAACGAUAUGAUUUAUGAUAAUAAUAAUAAUAAUAAUAAUAAUAAUAA